CCCUUGUACACUUAGCUCAGUUUACUUUACACAAAUAUCACACUAUGCAAAAUUAUAGUGCACUAUCACAAUCAGGAUGCUGACAUUGAUAUAACCACACAUCGUAUUCAGAAUUUCCCCAGUUUUACUUGCACUCAUUUGUGCGUGUUCAUUAAGUUCUAUACAACUUUUCACAUGAGUGAGUCAUGUAACCACCACCAUAGUCAAGAUAAAGAACAAGUUUAAUCCCCAUAAGGAUCCCCUGUACUGCCCUUUUAUAAGAGUACCUACCUCUCUCCCACCUCCUCUUUCCCCCACACCUGUCCCUAACCCCUGAAAACCACUACUCUGUUCUCCAUCUCUAUAAUAGUGUUACUCCAAGAAUGUCACAUUAGAAUCAUGCAGUAUGUGUUUGAUAUGGUUUGGCUGUGUCCCCACCCAAAUCUCAUCUUGAAUUCCCAUGUGAUGUGGGAGGGACCUGGUGGGAGGUAACUGAAUCAUUGGGGCAGGUCUUUUCUGUGCUGUUCUCAUGAUGGUGAGUAAGUCUCACAAGAUCUGACAGUUUUAUGAGAAAGAGUUUCCCUGCACAAGCUCUCUCUUUGCCUGCCACCAUCCAUGUAAGAUGUGACUUGCUCCUCCUUGCCUUCUGCCCUGAUGUGAGGCCUCUCCAGCCACGUGGAAUUCACUGACAAUAUAUAUAGAUUUCAAUGUUGGGCUUGUUUUCUGCCCGGACCAGGAUGUAAGCUCCAUGAAGACAGUCUCAAUUUUGUUCACUACCGCAUCAUCAGUUCCUAGAACAGAGCCUGGCACCUCUGCAGAAUGUUAAAUGGCUCUUCGUGAAUCAACUCCAGCCCAUGCCCGCUGUGAUCCCGAUGAAAGGGGCUAGGAAUCCACCUAGGAAGUUCCCCAGGUGCUUCUGCUGUCGGUGGCCUCGCAGCAAAUUUCGAAAAUGACUGCUCUCUUCAAGGUUUUCUCAAAGGAUUCCCAUUGGUGGUUUGAGGAAUUUUCUUAACACACCAACGACCACACGAUAGUGAUGAUAUUGGCAAUUAUGGCCAUGGUGACUAUGAUCCCAAAAGAAAAGAAGACGAUGCCAAAGGCCGGUGGGUCACGACUUCGUUUUAAGGCUCAUUAUCACGGGAAGGCGUCCUCUUCCUUGGAAAUCUAAAUGCAGAACACCCAGCCAUCUUCAGGAAGCCUGUGUGUGCCAAGUCAGGCAGGGCAAAACCUUAUACCUGCAUGUUUUCCUAAUGUGAGAGACUGCUCUGUAAAUUUCUUUCUAGUGCUCAGUCGAGUUAAUAUGGAAUUUGCAUAAGCACUUGGCAAGAAAUAACGUAUGUCUCUGUAAUAUUUCCGAGGCAGUAUUUUCUCCUCCAAACCCUGACCUCUGUAGGAACGGGACUUAACAUUUGCCUCCCAAAUGCAGAGUAGGGCUGUAUUUAACUUACCCAGUGAAGUCUCCCCUAAGCACUCAGGGGACUCAAACCACAGAAACCAACAUUUGGUCUCUUUGAAUUAAGUCUUUUCAUAUAAUUGAAGCAGCCCAAGAAACCUCCCAGAAAAUGUUUCGGAACACAAAUGUGGAAUGGGGCAUCCAAUUAACAGCAAUAACAUUUUGUUCAAAAAUAACUUUUGCAGACAUAUUGCGAUGUCCAAAACAGAACUGCCCAUUGCUGGCCUCCAAACCACUCUGCUCCUCCCACAAGUGUUCUCCUAUCUUAGUAAAUGGCACCACCAAUCUCCCAGUUGCUAGGGCCUAAACCUUGGAGGCAGAAGUUCCCCCCUCCCCUGGUCUCACUCACUCCAUUACCAAAUCCUGAGAACUGUGUCUCCUAAAGUCUUGAAUGUGUACACUCAUCCCUGCCCUGAAUAACUGCACAACAGCCUCCUCCAGCCCGUUUUUUUUACCCAGCAACCACGGGAAGCUUCUUAAAAAGUAAAUCAGAUCAUGUUGUUCCCUUGCUUAAAACCCUCUAGUCUCAUGUCCCAGGCCUUCCAUCUCACUCACAGUAAAUCCAAAUUUCUGUUCAUGGUCUACACAGCCCCACAUGAUCUGAUCAGGCCCCUGCCUCCCUAUUUAAUUCUUCAACUCAUUCCAGCUUCCCUUCUACACUGCCUCCCGCCCCACAACCGUCACCUCCCUGACCCCACCACUCCACCUGUCUGGAAUAACUUCCCUUCCUUCCUUCACCUGGCCGUUCCCAGUUUAUCCCUCAUGCCAUAAAAGAACAUACUGUUCCCAGCCUAGGAAAGGCUCAGGACCCAUGCCUUCUACCCUCACAGACCCUAUGCUGAGUCCACCUUAACACUGAGCUUUGAAUCCAGAUGUGAGUUCAACUUGCUUUGCAAUUUGCUGUCUCCUCACACUGGUCCUGUUUCUCAACCCUAGCAGCAUGACAGAAUCUUUGAGGAAGCUUUUUUUUUUUUUUUUUUCAUUUAAAUUGAGGUAAAAUUCAUAUAAUAUAAAAUUAACCUUUAAAUGUGUACAAUUUAGUGGCAUUUACUACAUUUGCAAUAUUGUGCAACUAUCACCUCCAUCUAGUUCUAGAACAUUCCCAUCACCCCAAAAGGAAAUCCCAGACGCAUUAAGCAGUCACUCCCCAUUAGCCCUCCCCCAGCCCCGGGCAACCACUAAUCUUUCUGUCUUUAUGGAUUUUGCCUAUUGUGGACAUUUUGUAUAAAUGGAACCAUACACUAUGUGGCCUUUUGUGUCUGGCUUCUUUUGCUGAGCGUAAUGUUUUUGAGGCUCGUUCAUGUUCUACUAUGUAUCAGAAUUUCAUGUCUUUUAUGGCUGAAUACUAUUCAAUUGUAUAAUAAUACCACAUUUUGUUGAUCCAUUCAUCAGUAGACAGAUAUUUGGGUUGUUUCCAAUUUGGGGCUAUUGUGAGCAAUGCUGCUAUGAACACGGAUGUACAUACAAGCUUUUUGGUGGACAUGUGUUUUUAUUUCUCUCGGGUAUACACAUGAAUUGCUGGGUAUCAGGGAAGCUUUGAAAACCACGUUUGCCAGGGCUCUACUCUCCAAGUUUUCAAUGUACUUGGCCUGAGGUAGGAUAAGGCAUUCCUAUCCAUCUAAAAGCUGAGACCAUGGCUGGGCAAACUAAGGCCAGUGGGCCAAGUCCCGCCCACUGCCUGUUUUCAUGUGACCCCUAAACAAAGAACGGUUGAGAAAAAUAAAAACGAAGAAUAUUUUGUGA
rnacentral:lncRNA from 10 species